GGGGACUGUGAUGGGGUCAGGGGGAGAAGCAGAAGAAAUAACAUCUAUCAAAUCAGCCCUGCCUCAAAGUUCAGCUCACCCACCAGGAAUAAAACAUUUUCUACUGAAAAUGAAGAUAGACUGCAGCUCCUUGAGAGAAGAGAAUAUGUCAGUUUGGUUCUCUGCUGUAACUUCAAUGCUGAGAGCAAGAUUCAGCUUCCACAUUUUUAUAACAAGGCUAUAAUACCUGUCUGAUGCAGCUAUUAUAAAAUCUGAAGGAUACAGCAACAAGGUACCAUCUUAGAAGCAGAUGCCAGACACAGCCCUCAGCAGACACCAGAUCUACUGGCACCUUGAUUUUGAACUUCCCAGCCUCCAGAACUGAGCAAAUAAAUUUCUAUUAUUUGUAAA